GUGGGGAAUAUUGGACAAUGGGCGAAAGCCUGAUCCAGCCAUGCCGCGUGUGUGAAGAAGGUCUUCGGAUUGUAAAGCACUUUAAGUUGGGAGGAAGGGUAGUAACCUAAUACGUUGCUACUUUGACGUUACCGACAGAAUAAGCACCGGCUAACUUCGUGCCAGCAGCCGCGGUAAUACGAAGGGUGCAAGCGUUAAUCGGAAUUACUGGGCGUAAAGCGCGCGUAGGUGGUUCAGUAAGUUGGAAGUGAAAUCCCCGGGCUCAACCUGGGAACUGCUUUCAAAACUGCUGAGCUAGAGUACGGUAGAGGGUGGUGGAAUUUCCUGUGUAGCGGUGGAAUGCGUAGAUAUAGGAAGGAACACCAGUGGCGAAGGCGACCACCUGGACUGAUACUGACACUGAGGUGCGAAAGCGUGGGGAGCAAACAGGAUUAGAUACCCGAGUAGUCC
rnacentral:rRNA from 1 species